CAGUAUAUUCAGAUGACAAAGCGUUUUCUGUGCUUGCAGGGUUCAAUUUGAGUUGGCUAUUAGGAAAGGGAAAUUGGACUCACAGUGGAAGGCUGAAAUCAAAGGAAGCAACAGAACAAGGUUUGUGGUGGAGAUAGCAACAGAAAGACAUGGCAUUUCAAGUAAUCUGAGUCAAAUGAUUAGUUCACAGUGUUGUGAAACAGGGUAAUAUUCUCCUCCCUUUCUACUCAAAAGAAAACCUCCAACUCUAAAAGGGGAAAGCGAAGGAAACAUCUUCCUAGACUUAGUUCCAAAAACAGAUUUUAAAGUAAUUCUAGUCUGGUAAUCAGCACAAAGUGGUGUGGAACAAGGCGAUAUUUACCUCCUGUCUUGCUAAAAGGAAACCCCAUAACUCUAAAGAGGAAAAGCGAAGGAAGUAUCUUCAAGUACUCUGUUUCAAAGGGAUUUAAGCACUCUAGAAAAAUUCCUAUGAAGAUAAGGUUUCACUGCGGAUUUGAGUAUCUUCUCCACAAAGUCUACACUGAAGUACUUCCAAUGGAUCAGUGAACAAGGGACUACAAGCCAACAUAGAUACUGUUCAACUUGCUUUAAAUCCCACCAGCUGAACCAGGCAUGACCAAAAGGAAACCAGGAGAGGCAGCAUGUUAUAGUGGAUAGAGAACAGGCCUUGAAGCCAGGAAGAUCAGGCUGGAUUGAGUCCCACCACUGACACAUCCUGGCUGUGUGACACCCCCCAAGCAAAGUCAAUUAAAAGCCUCUCAGAGCUCAAGGCAACGAAGACUCCAUGUUGAAAAGAAAGUGCCAACCUGCUUGGGCAGAGGAGUUUCCUCACUUGGGAGUACUCCAUACCAGUGAAGUCACAGGUCCAAGUUGCCUAUUCCACUGUAAUCAUUCUCUGGGGAAAUACAUGCAAAGAAAGGAGGACCAGACAUCAUCACCCUUUGAACGCCUAGUGGGUUGCCUGUCUGGCCAUCUGAUCGGCAUUCCCUGAAGCCUCCUCGGGGUCUGCGUAUUUUCUCCUUUUCUCUAGCAGUCAGGCUGAUGUGGCAACCUGAACCACACACAGUCUUGUGGAAGCCCACAGAAGACUGGAUUUUCUAGGAAAUAACAAGGUUUACCACUCCAGUGGAUCACAUCCAGUUCCCUGUAAAGAGUCUCGGGUCUACAGUAUGAGGGGAAUUCUAGCCAAGGGACGUCGUAAAAAAAUACUUCAAAGAAACUCAGAAGUCGUCCCCAGACAACCUUUUUCCCGUCUCCAUCCCACUGAAGGCAAGACUGGUAAGGCCUCCGAUACUAGGGGAAGUGACUUUUGAACCAAUUUAAAAGUGGAUCCACCGUGGAGACGGUGCCCCUGCUGGCCCCCCCUGCCUGGGAUGCAUGCCCUUCCUACCUCCACCUUUGUAAGGCCCCAGCUCCCUGCCAGCUUCAGCUCACCCGUCAUCAGCUCUACCUGGAGGCAUUCCUAACGCUAUCAGAAGAUAACUGCCCACAGCAAAAGACAUAGCCUUCUCGGUGUCAGUGUAUCUUGCCCCGCCUCCCCAUCUGCAGACUCAGAGCGUAAGCUCCUCCAGGGCAGGGUCUGCUUCGUUUUCCUUUGUCUCCUAACCCAAGCUUGCUGGAUUGAAUUAAAUCGCCUCCCUCCCUCGCCCCAGCCGCCCCCUCCCGGUCUCUGCCCUCCCCCUCUUCCUCCGUUCAGUACCAGCAUCCUCCCCACUCCCCGGGGUUCGGGGCUCCUCACGCUGCAACAUCCUGGCUCUCUGGGAGCCCCUGUCCACCCAGCGGCGGAAGUCCCCGGGAGCCCACGUGGAACCUGCUCCAGGCCUGCAGGCCCUUCCUGCCGCCGCCUAGCGCUCCUCUUACCUCAGGA